rnacentral:rRNA from 1 species
UACGAAGGGUGCAAGCGUUACUCGGAAUUACUGGGCGUAAAGCGUGCGUAGGUGGUUUGUUAAGUCUGAUGUGAAAGCCCUGGGCUCAACCUGGGAACUGCAAUGGAAACUGGCGGGCUUGAGUGUGGCAGAGGGGGGUGGAAUUCCGCGUGUAGCAGUGAAAUGCGUAGAGAUGCGGAGGAACACCGAUGGCGAAGGCAGCCCCCUGGGCCAACACUGACGCUCAGGCACGAAAGCGUGGGGAGCAAACAGG